UGAGCAACCUGCCCUUAGCUCUGGGAUAACCCCGGGAAACCGGGGCUAAUACCGGAUACGAGUCCGAGCGGCAUCACACGGACUGGAAAGUUUUUCGGCUAAGGAUGGGCUCGCGGCCUAUCAGCUUGUUGGUGGGGUAAUGGCCUACCAAGGCGACGACGGGUAGCCGGCCUGAGAGGGUGACCGGCCACACUGGGACUGAGACACGGCCCAGACUCCUACGGGAGGCA
rnacentral:rRNA from 1 species